rnacentral:rRNA from 1 species
AUUGAACGCUGGCGGCAGGCCUAACACAUGCAAGUCGAGCGGAUGAAGGGAGCUUGCUCCUGGAUUCAGCGGCGGACGGGUGCGUAAUGCCUAGGAAUCUGCCAGGUAGUGGGGGAUAACGUCCGGAAACGGGCGCUAAUACCGCAUACGUCCUGAGGGAGAUAGGGGGGGAUCUUCGGACCUCACGCCAUCAGAUGAGCCUAGGUGGGAUUAGCUAGUUGGUGGGGUAAAGGCCUACCAAGGCGACGAUCCGUAACUGGUCUGAUAGGAUGAUCAGUCACGCUAGACCUGCAACACGGUCCAGACUCCUACGGGAGGCAGCGGUGGGGAAUAUUAGACAAUGGGCGGAAGCCUGAUCCGGCCCUGCCGCGUGUGUGAAGAAGGUCUUCGGAUUGUAAAGCACUUUCAGUUGGGAGGAAGGGCAGUAAGUUAAUACCUUGCUGUUUUGACGUUACCAACAGAAUAAGCACCGGCUAACUUCGUG